GAGUUUGAUCGUGGCUCAGGAUGAACGCUGGCGGCGUGCCUAAUACAUGCAAGUCGAGCGAACGGACGAGAAGCUUGCUUCUCUGAUGUUAGCGGCGGACGGGUGAGUAACACGUGGAUAACCUACCUAUAAGACUGGGAUAACUUCGGGAAACCGGAGCUAAUACCGGAUAAUAUUUUGAACCGCAUGGUUCAAAAGUGAAAGACGGUCUUGCUGUCACUUAUAGAUGGAUCCGCGCUGCAUUAGCUAGUUGGUAAGGUAACGGCUUACCAAGGCAACGAUGCAUAGCCGACCUGAGAGGGUGA
rnacentral:rRNA from 1 species